GUUCCAAUAGCCCAUUGUGUGAAUUGACACUUGUGUCAAAUUGUGGAAUGUUGGUUAUGUCACCAAUCUUCCGGACCAAGUCCCCUGGAACGGGGCAGCAGAAAGGGUGAGACUCCCGUAUGUCUGGAAGAGUGAGGUAUAACCUAUGAGUCGAGUUGUUUGGGAUUGCAGCUCUAAGUGGGUGGUAAAUUCCAUCCAAGGCUAAAUAUUGACGAGAGACCGAUAGCGUACAAGUACCGUGAGGGAAAGAUGCAAAGCCGCGCGAGAGCGCUGUCAAAGAGUACCUGAAAUUGCUGAAAAGGAAGCGAAGGAAAUCAGUGUUAGCCAACCUGCACUUCCCCUGUUGCUUGCAUUUGGGGCGC
rnacentral:rRNA from 1 species